UACGGGGGGGGCAAGCGUUGUUCGGAUUUACUGUGCGUAAAGGGCGCGUAGGCGGCCACUGCAAGUCAGUUGUGAAAUCUCCGGGCUUAACUCGGAAAGGUCAACUGAUACUGCAGGGCUAGAGUGCAGAAGGGGCAACUGGAAUUCUCGGUGUAGCGGUGAAAUGCGUAGAUAUCGAGAGGAACACCUGCGGCGAAGGCGGGUUGCUGGGCUGACACUGACGCUGAAGCGCGAAAGCCAGGGGAGCGAACGGG
rnacentral:rRNA from 1 species